rnacentral:rRNA from 1 species
GAUGAACGCUGGCGGCGUGCUUAACACAUGCAAGUCGAACGGUGAAGGCGGAGCUUGCUCUGCUGGAUCAGUGGCGAACGGGUGAGUAACACGUGAGCAAUCUGCCCCUGACUCUGGGAUAAGCGCUGGAAACGGCGUCUAAUACUGGAUACGAGCUGCGAAGGCAUCUUCAGCAGCUGGAAAGAACUUCGGUCAGGGAUGAGCUCGCGGCCUAUCAGCUUGUUGGUGAGGUAACGGCUCACCAAGGCGUCGACGGGUAGCCGGCCUGAGAGGGUGACCGGCCACACUGGGACUGAGACACGGCCCAGACUCCUACGGGAGGCAGCAGUGGGGAAUAUUGCACAAUGGGCGAAAGCCUGAUGCAGCAACGCCGCGUGAGGGACGACGGCCUUCGGGUUGUAAACCUCUUUUAGCAGGGAAGAAGCGGAAGUGACGGUACCUGCAGAAAAAGCGCCGGCUAACUACGUG